rnacentral:rRNA from 1 species
AAUGAACGCUGGCGGCAUGCUUUACACAUGCAAGUCGAACGAGUGGCAAACGGGUGAAUAACGCAUCGGAACGUACCGAGUAAUGGGGACUAGCUGUCCGAAAGGACAGCUAAUACCGCAUUUUAUUCGAGCGGCCGAUGUCGGAUUAGCUGGUUGGCGGGGUAAAGGGCCACCAAGGCGACGAACAGUAGCGGGUCUGAGAGGAGGAUCCGCCACACUGGGACUGAGACACGGCCCCGACUCCUACGCGAGGCAGCAGUGGGGAAUUUUGGACAAUGUGCGUAAGACUGAACCAGCCAAGUAGCGUGCAGGACGACGGCCUAUGGGUUGUAAACUGCUUUUAUGCGGGGAUAGGUACCGCAUGAAUAAGGACCGGCUAAUUCCGUGCCAGCAGCCGCGGUAAUAC